UCGCUCCACCCACAGGUGCAACCUGUCACCUUAACGGGUUUCCCCAGCUCCACCCGUCUCCAACCUGCAAACAAGAACAUAGAGAAGGUCCAAGGAGCCACAGUGCGUGACUAAAGAAAUGAUGCCAGCUGGUCUGCCCUCUCAUUGCCACGUACACCUACAUGCGAGUUGAAGCUGACCUCCCUGAUGAUUCCUCCUUGGAGCUGACUGGAGGACAUGGUGCAGUAGACCUUGCUGGCUAUUUGAAGGACACGACCUCAUACGCAUCAGGGCUGAAGAUGAAUCGGAGCAGAUCGACACAUGUUCCUGCUGUGUUUCUUCCACCCGUCGCAGUGCAAUCCUUACUGCCAACAUCUCCACUGUGUGGAGCCCCAGAUCAUUAGAUGUUCUCCUGUUGAUAGCCAUCCCUUGACUUGGUAAAGACGCCCCACACCCUGUCUGAGGUUCUUUGGCACCAUGUGUGUAAAGCUGUGUGUAGUUCCUGUUCUCUUUCAUAACAGACCUUUAAAAUGUACCAGACAAACCCCCCUCCAUUUGUUUCUUCUUUUGACCUGCAGCAAAAGAUUUUUAAUUAACUGUUGGGACUAGUUUCAUUUAAAAAGACGUCAUUUCUCUUCUCAUAUUUAUUUGUUUUAGUCAUUUUAUUAAGCAGCAAAUCCAGAAGUUGGAUGUGGAGCAGGCAGUUAGAGGGUUAAUCAGAAUAAAACCAGAGGUUUUCAGAAUCAAAAGGAUUAAACAAUGAUUAAAAUAAGUUUUAGUAAAAAGGUUGAACAAGAGGAACCUUUGAAGGGCACUUUGAAGGAGACACGUGUCUGGAUUGAGACGCGGCCAAACCUUUGGAGUCGUGAAGGAGACGAAUGUUCAGAAUGGAACGCAGCCGAACAAAAGCCUUUGAAGGUUUAAUGAUGUUGGACUGAAGGGGGGGGGGGGUCAGCAGGUGCUAGAUGAUUAAGAUGAAGCUGUUUGUCUGUCGUGUUUCUCAUCAAUCAAUCAAUGGACUUGUUCUCUUUCAUCAUGUUGUUGAUCCGAUCUGCUCUCAUCCAGACGCUCCGGUGUACAAACCCACUGACUUCUAACGCCAUCCGCUGUGUAUUAUAGGAAAUAAAAAGCAUUUUCACUAAUGAAAAACUCUAAAACUAGGAUUCUCUCCAUAAUGUUUCCAAAUAAAGUCUCUUUUUUUCCAA